AUGCUUAACACAUGCAGUCGAACGGGCUCUUCGGAGCUAGUGGCGGACGGGUGAGUAACACGUGAGAAUCUGGCUCCCGGUCGGGGACAACAAGGGAAACUUCUGCUAAUCCCGGAUGAGCCGAAAGGUAAAAGAUUUAUCGCCGGGAGAUGAGCUCGCGUCUGAUUAGCUAGUUGGUGAGGUAAAGGCUCACCAAGGCGACGAUCAGUAGCUGGUCUGAGAGGAUGAUCAGCCACACUGGGACUGAGACACGCCCAGACUCCUACGGGAGGCAGCAGUGGGGAAUUUUCCGCAAUGGGCGCAAGCCUGACGGAGCAAGACCGCGUGGGGGAGGAAGGCUCUUGGGUUGUAAACCCCUUUUCUCAAGGAAGAACACAAUGACGGUACUUGAGGAAUAAGCCUCGGCUAACUCCGUGCCAGCAGCCGCGGUAAUACGGAGGAGGCAAGCGUUAUCCGGAAUGAUUGGGCGUAAAGCGUCCGUAGGUGGCUAUUCAAGUCUGCUGUCAAAGACAGUGGCUUAACUACUGAAAGGCAGUGGAAACUGAACAGCUAGAGUACGGUAGGGGCA
rnacentral:rRNA from 1 species